UCUAAAUAAAUUCUUUUAUUAACAUAACACUAUAUAAUUCUAUUACUACAUUACUAUACGGAUUCUUUUACCACGUUAACGGAUUUCCUUUAAGGACAAACAGCUGUCACAUCAUUUCAAGUAUAUGAGAUAUAUUCACUUCAAUACGAAUAUUCAGAAUGAAAUAUUUUCAAUGCUGGUAUCUAGUCAUUGUUCAUGUUAGUUUGUGCUCAUGCUGGAACGCUGAAUGG